rnacentral:lncRNA from 1 species
CAAAGCUAGAGGAAACCAAAGUCAUAGAACAUCUGAACUCUGUCCAAACAUCGGUCGUAUUUCAAAAUUUCAGUAGCCACCAUCCCGCAGCCAACGAUAAUAUCUGACACUUCCUGACAUCAUGAAAGCCACCAUCUGUCUAUCACCAAAACCCUGUACUUUUUAAAGACUACUUGGCUUGAUCCUUAAUGAAGCUUCAAGUUGAAUGCACAGAUCGCUUUAGAAGGAAUACAAGGAAUAAUUGACACAAGAGAUCUCCUGGAAAAAGCCUUAUACCUAAUAUUCUUGUUUGGAGGAAGAAACUGGGAAAAACAUCUGUCAUCUCCUCACCAGACCGAGUCUCGUUCUGUAGUCCAGGCUGGAGUGCAGUGGCGGGAUCUCCACUCACUGCAAGCUCCACCUCCCAGGUUAAAGCCAUUCUCCUGCCUCAGCCUCCUGAGUAGCUGAGACUACAGGCACUCACCACCACACCCGGCUUAUUUUUUGUAUUUUUAGUAGAGACGGGGUUUCACCGUGUUAGCCAGGAUGGUCUCGAUCUCCUGACCUCGUGAUCUGCCUGCCUCGGCCUCCCAAAGUGCUGGUAUUACAGGCGUGAGCCACCACGCCAGGCCACAAUCUUUCAUUUUUAUAAUAAAUCAUUCAUGUGUAA